GACAAGACGUGUGCAGGCAAGGGGCAACAAAAGAAGCGAAUGUGUACAAUCCGCAAGUGCAAGCGAGAAGCAAGGUAGAUCAACUUAAGAAGCUCUAUCAAAGUGUGUUUAAGGUUCCUUGUCGUCGUGAUAUCGUCGUCAGCCUAGCUAACCAUCGCUUGCAUCAAUGGAGGGGAUGGAGGGGUACACGAUG